AUGCAAAAAGCACACGAAAAUUGGCUCUUGAAAGGGGAUAGAUAUACUGACUACUUUCACAGAAUUGUGAAUGGGAGGAGGCGGAGAAAUACUAUUUUUUCUCUUAGUUGUGGAGAUGUGAUUAUUGAAGGGAAUAAUAAUCUCUUGGAACAUGCCACAAAAUUCUAUAAGGACCUUUUUGGGCCAGCAGUUGGAAACUUAUGUAAAAUGAAGGAAGAUAUGUGGGGAUCACAAGAGAAAUUGUCAGACAUUGACAACUUUAUCCUUACUAGACCCUUUUCUGAAACAGAAGUCAAGAAUGCGCUAUUCUCUAUGAAACCAAAUAAAGCUCCUGGUCCAGAUAAUAUUCCUAUUGAGUUUUUCCAACAUUGUUGGGAGAUAGUGAAAAAUGAGGUGAUGAUGCUAUUUGACUGGUUCCAUGAUAACAAACUGGAUGUGCAACGUCUCAAUUAUGGGAUCAUAACUCUACUGCCUAAGGUUGUGGGGGCAAACAAGAUCCAGCAAUUUAGGCCUAUAUGCUUGCUUAGAUGCAUAUACAAGCUGAUCACCAAAGUACUGACUAUUCGGCUGGAACCUUUUGUGGAUAUUCUUUUCAGUAGACAUCAGAAUGCUUUCAUUAAGAAGCGUGACAUCAUGGAUGGGAUCAUGUCCCUGCAUGAAAUCUUGCACCACACUUACAAUAGGAAGAAAACUGGUAUUGUGUUGAAACUUGACUUCGAAAAGGCUUACGAUAAAGUCAACUGGGACUUCCUAUUAGAUUGCCACAGAAUGAGAGAAUUCCACCCGAAAUCGGUCGAGUGGGUCAGUAAAAUUUUAGUGGGGGGUACAGUUAGUGUGAAGUUGAAUGACGAGGUGGGCCCAUACUUUCAAAGCUCGAAAGGGGUGCGCCAAGGGGACCCUUUCUCACCGUUUCUUUUCAAUUUAGCUGCUGAUUGUUUGACAAAGAUGAUUCUUAAAGCCCAACAAAAUGGCUUGUUUAAAAAUUAA
rnacentral:rRNA from 1 species